CGGACGGGUGAGUAAUGUCUGGGAAACUGCCCGAUGGAGGGGGAUAACUACUGGAAACGGUAGCUAAUACCGCAUAACGUCGCAAGACCAAAGAGGGGACCUUCGGGCCUCUUGCCAUCAGAUGAACCCAUAUGGGAUUAGCUAGUAGGUAAGGUAACGGCUUACCUAGGCGACGAUCCCUAGCUGGUCUGAGAGGAUGAUCAGCCACACUGGGACUGAGACACGGCCCAG
rnacentral:rRNA from 1 species